GACCACCUCUAAAGGCCCAGGGUUCUUGGUCUCCAAUUAAGAAUUGUGCUGAAGAAUGACUACGACACCCUGUUGAGAUCAGAUCCAAGCGGAGAACGUUACGAGAAAGGGGAUUUCCUGGGGUCUCAAAUGUCCAACAAACCUUUUCCUUUGCAAUUGACACUGACAACACUACUAUUUGCUCGAAGCCAUUGAAAUUCCCGUAACAUCUGUGCUCCUUUGGGUCCAUGCUCGUAAGGAAGGUAGAAUAGAUCAGCAAGUAACUGCAAAUCCUCCAGGGUCACUGGUUCCGCAGUGUACAAAGGCUUUUCAUUUGGACCUGGCACAAACUGCUCCUUGUUUGUCUGUUCAUCAGUUUGCAUGGGGGCAAUGUCACUAAUACAAUCUUCUUGCAUGGACAUCUCUGGGGAUUUUGAUUCAGCUAUGCUCUCUUUAUCAGUGUCCAUUGGUUUCAAUUCCUCUGCCAUUUUCGCUUCAACAAUUUCA
rnacentral:lncRNA from 1 species